rnacentral:rRNA from 1 species
AGGCAUGUGGUUUAAUUCGAAGCAACGCGAAGAACCUUACCAGGUCUUGACUAUCCCGAUGCUAUUUCUAGAGAUAGAAAGUUACUUCGGUACAUCGGUGACAGGUGGUGCAUGGUUGUCGUCAGCUCGUGUCGUGAGAUGUUGGGUUAAGUCCCGCAACGAGCGCAACCCCUAUUGUUAGUUGCCAUCAUUCAGUUGGGCACUCUAGCGAGACUGCCGGUAAUAAACCGGAGGAAGGUGGGGACGACGUCAAAUCAUCAUGCCCCUUAUGACCUGGGCUACACACGUGCUACAAUGGUUGGUACAACGAGUUGCGAGUCGGUGACGGCGAGCUAAUCUCUUAAAGCCAAUCUCAGUUUGGAUUGUAGGCUGCAACUCGCCUACAUGAAGUCGGAAUCGCUAGUAAUCGCGGAUCAGCACGCCGCGGUCGAAUACGUUCCCGGGCCUU